rnacentral:rRNA from 1 species
AGAGUUUGAUCCUGGCUCAGGACGAACGCUGGCGGCGUGCUUAACACAUGCAAGUCGAACGGAAAGGCCCUUCGGGGUACUCGAGUGGCGAACGGGUGAGUAACACGUGGGUGAUCUGCCCUGCACUUUGGGAUAAGCCUGGGAAACUGGGUCUAAUACCGAAUAUGACCAUGCACUUCCUGGUGUGUGGUGGAAAGCUUUUGCAGUGUGGGAUGGGCCCGCGGCCUAUCAGCUUGUUGGUGGGGUAAUGGCCUACCAAGGCGACGACGGGUAGCCGGCCUGAGAGGGUGACCGGCCACACUGGGACUGAGAUACGGCCCAGACUCCUACGGGAGGCAGCAGUGGGGAAUAUUGCACAAUGGGCGCAAGCCUGAUGCAGCGACGCCGCGUGAGGGAUGACGGCCUUCGGGUUGUAAACCUCUUUCAGCACAGACGAAGCGCAAGUGACGGUAUGUGCAGAAGAAGGACCGGCCAACUACGUGCCAGCAGCCGCGGUAAUACGUAGGGUCCGAGCGUUGUCCGGAAUUACUGGGCGUAAAGAGCUCGUAGGUGGUUUGUCGCGUUGUUCGUGAAAACUCACAGCUUAACUGUGGGCGUGCGGGCGAUACGGGCAGACUUGAGUACUGCAGGGGAGACUGGAAUUCCUGGUGUAGCGGUGGAAUGCGCAGAUAUCAGGAGGAACACCGGUGGCGAAGGCGGGUCUCUGGGCAGUAACUGACGCUGAGGAGCGAAAGCGUGGGGAGCGAACAGGAUUAGAUACCCUGGUAGUCC